rnacentral:lncRNA from 1 species
UUUUUUUUCUCUCAGUAAAAUGCCUAAAAAUCACCCUUUUUCCUUUGAUUUCCUUACUUUAAGGAUUGCUUGAACCUGGAAGCAAAUUUUAUGCAAAAACAAGCUGAGAUUGCUGAGAGUGUUGUUCGGGGUGAGCCAAGGCUCCGUCUUGAAGGCCGUACUUUGACCUAUAAUUAUUAACAUUAAAUACAUUGUGACCGCAGAAUUUUUCUCAAUAGAAUCAGUGGCUAAAAAUGAUAUGUUUUCCAUCGAUUUCCUUACUUUAAGAAACAUCAGUAUUGCUAGAUCCUGGAAGCAAUUUUUAUGCAAACAAUU